UAUCACAGCCCUGUUAUUUGGGAAUGUAAUGAUCUGGGAUGUGUGGGUCUGUUUGGCAAAACUGUGAACUCACUACUAUGAGGUCACUACUGUGGGUGUUCUCUAAAUUAUUAUUGGAGAUGAGCAGGAGGCUGACUGUAUGUAUUCUUCACAUUUUAAGGUACUUUCUUUCCACAGAUGUCACCUGUGAGGGCCUUCAGUGUCCUUUUUCCCAGCUCCCAGCACUGCCCUUCCAGCUAGAUCUGUGUGAACAAGUGUUUGGCCUCUCACCUUCAUCUGUUGCCCAGGCUGUGGCCCAGACAAACUCCUAUUAUGGUGGCCAAAGUCCUGGAGCCACCCAAGUAAUGUUUGUUAACGGUGAGUGUGCCACCGGAGCUAACUCCGCAAUAUUGUAGUCCCAGCCCA
rnacentral:lncRNA from 1 species